AAACUAUCUGAUUGACAUGAAUCCUCAUAAAUCUAGCAUUCCACUAUACUAUUAAUAGAUCAUUUGAUCCUCAAUCUAAUUAUCUUAAAUAAUUAUUCUCCCAGUGCCAUGUCGGAACUUAAAAAAAAAGAAAAUAUUUCAUUAAAUGCUGAGCACUCUUCCAGCACCACAUUGGAGCUUAAAAAAAAAUAUUUCACUAAAUGCUAGGACUCAUGUAUCUCGUCGUUCAUUCUCAUUGUCUCAAAACAUUGCUCUCCCAACUCCCCAUUGGAUUUUAAAAAAUUGAAAAAAGAUUCAUUAAUUGCUGAAACUCAUGUCUGUAUUUUUUUAAAAUCUUUGCCCUUGCCUCCAAAAAUAAAUAGAAAUACCCGCAUAAUAAACACAAAUACUUCCUGGAUAAAUAAGAAUCUUCUAGAAUAAAUAUCUACUUUGCAGCAAUAAACAGAAAUACUGUAGAAAUAAACAAAAACCGAACCACUAACCUUUAGUCACGCUGGGGCUUGCUCACCAUAAAUAACAAGAAUGAAGAAUAAACAUAAAAUUUGAACAAAGUCAAUACAAA
rnacentral:lncRNA from 1 species